UUUUAAUAGGCCAGUUUUAAUUUUUAUUAUUUUUUUAUCCUACUUUCCCCCCAUCUUCCUCCUUUCCUCUCCAUCUCCUUCCUUUUCCUCCACCUUCCUCUUUUCAUCUCCAUCUUUUUCCUCUCCAUCUCCCUCCUUUCAGCACCACCUCCCCUUUCCCACCCCACACUGCAAUUUCCCUUUUUUGCCCCAAACUCAGAGCACCUGGGUUCUGUUAGAGUCUCCUCCCACCCCAGGUGUGACCACUUUGCCCUCCCUACUCACUGCCCUUUAUAACGGAGCCAGGAAACACAGAAGCCCCAAGUUUGCCCAACUGGGCAGAGGGAUCCUCCUCCUCUCAUCACCGCGUUCACACGGAGGUGGAGGAAUAAGGAGUGACCCCAUCCUGGCUGUCCACGUGAAGACGAUCAGGACUAGUUACUGAUCAUGCAUGGUGGCAAUAUUGAGAUGCAGCUGUGACAGGCAAAUAGGUCACAGAAAUGCUGCAGAACAUCUCAGUUUGAGUGGGAAGACACAGGAGGGAGGCAAACAGGGACAAACAGAGGUACUUCAACAAGACUCUGUUCUUCUCCCUGGAGAUCUUGCCUCCUCCUAAUCAAAUGCCUGCUGAGAACCUGCUUUCCUCCGGUCAACUUCAUCACACGCUGCCGUCCUUGGCAUCUCUCUCUCUUCUGAGCUCUCAGAAGAAAAGAGCAGGAAAUUGCCAAGUGCUGACCACUCCAUCCUUGGUGUCUUCAUAACUUGUGAGGUGAAGGAUGGUCCUUCAAGAUGAAUGAUGCUAAAAGGCUGCAAAUAUAGCAGCCUCAUCAAAGUCUCAGUCAGCUGUCAGUGGCUAAUUACAGAGAUGUCAAGGAGCUUGGAAUCUGUCAGCUGGAUUUAGGAGUGGAGAACAUUGCUUGGAAAAUGUCUCUUAACACACACACACACACACACAAAGAAAAAUCCCUCAAAGCAUAAUUAUUUGUGAGGUUCUGGCCCAUGCUGAUGUUCUGGUGGCCAUACAUUGCUUUUCUUGGGAAGAAUCACAGAAUCUCAGCAUGGUGGAAAUUUGGAAGUGACCUCUGGAGACAGUUUGCUAAAGUAGAGUUAUCCACUGCAGGUUGCCCAGCAUCACAAUGUGCAGAUGGGUUUGGAAUCUCUCUGGAGAAGGAGACUUCACAACCUCUCUGAGCAGCCUGUUCCAGGGCUCUGAACUCUCCAAGCCAAUACCCCUUGGCCUUUCCCUGGGCACCACUGACAUGGGUCUGGCCUCAACCUCUCGUUCCCCACCCUUCAGCUCUUGCUGAGCAUUGGGUAGAUCCUCUCAGGCUGCUCUUCUCCAGGCUCAGCAGUCCCAGAUCUUUCAACCUUUUCUCCUCACAGAAAUGCUCCAAGCCCCUUAGCAUCUUCACAGCCUCCACUGGACUCUCUCCAGAAGUUCCCUGUCUCCUUUGAACUUUUGAGUCCAGAACUGGACCCAAAUAUCCAGAAGCAAGGAAGCGGUGGUCCUACUUAGCAGGAUAAGAAGUGGGUCAAGGAGGUGGAAGGCAGCAUGUUUCCACCUUGCCAAAACUCCACUGCUGGCUUGUGGCCACUCUCCUGGCCCACUUGCAUCAGCAGAGGGGCAGAUUUGUUACUCCUCCUUCAGCUCUUCAAUCACCAGGGCACUCGGUGGUCACUGUGUUUCAUCCCAGCCCCUAUGAAGUUGAAUGAAUUCAUCCAGGUGGAUUUAUCAAGACAGCCAUCACAAAGAGCACAGUGCCUAUGACUGUCAGUUAUUUUGAUUGACUGCCUUGAGCCUCUUUACUCACACCACAAGUUCUUCAGAGCUUUGUAACACUGCGAAUGUGCUACUAGGCCCCGUGAAGUUGGGUGAGGAGGGUGGACAUUUGUGCAAGGGGAAUAAAAGGUGCCAUGUAAGGUCCAGGUGAUGUGUGAUGGACACAACUAGGAGCUGGUUAUCUCCAAGAUGUUGCUUUAAGCAUUUCUCAGGAGGUUCCUGAGUUUCAGCUCACUGAUGGCUGUUUCACAACUUAGUAUCUUUGCCCGAGUCACAGAAUUGUGGUUAUGACUGGGUUGCACUGGGAGAGUCCUUUAUGAUCAUCUAGUGCAACCCACCCUGCUACACUUGGGGACACCUUCCACUAGACCUGGUUGCUUAGGGGCCCAUCCAGUAUGGCCUUGAACACUUCCAGGUGUGGAGCAUCUGGAGCACCUCUCAGGGCAACUUGUUGCAGUGUUGCACCACCACAAUGAAGCCCUCCUUCCUUACUUCAUGUUGAGUUUUUCAUCAGCCAACACCCCCAAAUCCUUCACAGGGCUGCCUUCAACCCACUCAUCACCCAGCUUGUGCUUAUCUUCUGUCCCUGUUGGUUCAAGCCACCCCAGCCCUGAGAUGGUGGAAGGAGUUGAAGGUGGGAAUUCCUUCCCAGCUCCACUUUAGUCUUGACUAGAACAGGAUGAGAAGAAUCAGGUGACAGUUGACUUUUCUGAGAGGAAUGGUGAACCUGGCCAGCUGGGACUGACUUUGCUCAUUAGAGGAGGCUUUGUCCCUCAGCUGUGGUGCUCCAUGGUUCACCUCCUAGGCUGUCUUCAGCACAGAGGGGCUGCAGGCCAUUUCUGUGACCUUCAGCUGGAGGAUUUUCUGUCUGUCUCUCCUGAUCUCCUGUGCCCUAGGGGGAUGUUGUUUUACGGAUGAAUAAACCACCACAAACAACUUCAGAAGCUCUUCUGAGCUGUGCUCAGACGGCAAAGCUUCCAACAAAUGACCUUUAGCAUCUCCAUUGCUCUUCAGCAAUUAGGUGCCAGCAGAGGACAAACCCCAUUGCAGUAGAUGUUGACAAACCUAUGGAGAGUCUCCUUGUCCCCAGAGCUUUUGUGUUUUCUAGAGGGAUGAAGAAGGUUGAACACAAGUUGGAGCUGGGUGCUGAAAUCCUCCCACUUGGGUGGAUUUUUCACCCCCUGACAGUACCACCAGCACACACAGAGCAAAUGUUGAGUGCAGUGAACUUGCCAAGUCAUGAGAGCAGGGACUUGUUGCCAUUCCCCAGAACAAGGUCGGUCUGUCCUGGCACUACGUGGGCACUGGUGACGAGGUGGGACCUUGGCUCGAUCUUUGUCCCUGACAUGAAACUCCAGCCUCAAAGCCAAAUGCCAUUGCUACGUGGGAAUAAAGGGACCUUUUCUUCCAAGGGAGGGAAGCAUCUAGGGUGUGGGACAAGGAGGAGAGGUAGGAACUGCAAGCUCCAAGCCUUGGCUGUGGUGUUUGGUGGCAGAUGAAGGGGAGCGAAACUAAGUCAUGAUGCAGGGAGAAAGUUGGCUUAGCUCUGUGUUUGACAGGAGAGCAGGAGACUUGGGAGCUUUAUGGUUGGAACAGAUUUCAUCUUGCAAGUGUCCACUAGUACUCUUUAGAAUCACAGAAUGGUGGGGGUUGGGAGAGACCUCUGGAGGUCAUCUAGUCCAAUCCCCCUGCUAAAGCAGGAUCACCUAGGUUAGGGGUGAUUUAUUUGCACUAGAUGAUCAUCAUAGGUUCCUUCCAACUGAAAAUGUCCUGUCUUAUGACAGUGGGACAUAACCCAUGUCCUGGGCUGAUUCCCAGCAGUGUGGGCCCAGGUAGAGGUAGGGGAUUCCAUCCCUCUGCUGAGACCCCACCUGCAGUGCUGGGGCCAGCUCUGCAGUCCUCAGCAUAGCAGAGACAUGAACCUGUUGCAGUGGGGAUGGAGGAGGCCACAACAGUGCUGGGAGGGCUGGAAGCCUUGUGCUCUGAGACUAGGCUGAGAGAGUUGGGAUUGUUCAGCCUGGAGAGGAGAUGGCUUCAGAGAGGACUGAUGGCCUUCCAGGACUUGAAAGAGGCUACAGGAAAGUUAGGUAGAGACCUUGA